rnacentral:rRNA from 1 species
CCCUAUUAUUUUUGAAUGUUAAGUGUUUAUUUGCCUGAGUAGUAUUAGUUAUGUUCUUGAAACUUAAAGAAUUUGGCGGUACCUCAUUCCUUCCAGAGGAAUCUGUCUCGUUAUCGAUAGUCCACGUUGGACCUUACUUGGAUUGCUUUAUGGUUUGUAUACCGCCGUUUAUUGAUUAUCUUUUUAGAGUUUUUUAAUUUUCUGGUCUCUUUAUUUUGAUUUAUUUCAGGUCAAGGUGCAGCUUGUUUUUAAGUGAAUGAUGGAUUACAUUGUUAUUUGUUUUUGGAUUAUUGAUUUUGAUAUUAAUAUGAAAUUGGAUUUGGUUGUAAUGAUUUGUAGACUGUUUUUAUGAUAGUGGUUCUGGGGUAUGUACACAUCGCCCGUCGCUCUCGUUCAAAUGUUGUUGAUGAGAUAAGUC